GACGAACGCUGGCGGCGCGCCUAACACAUGCAAGUCGAACGAGCGAGAGAGAGCUUGCUUUCUCGAGCGAGUGGCGAACGGGUGAGUAACGCGUGAGGAACCUGCCUCAAAGAGGGGGACAACAGUUGGAAACGACUGCUAAUACCGCAUAAGCCCACAGGUCGGCAUCGACCAGGGGGAAAAGGAGCAAUCCGCUUUGAGAUGGCCUCGCGUCCGAUUAGCUAGUUGGUGAGGUAAUGGCCCACCAAGGCAACGAUCGGUAGCCGGACUGAGAGGUUGAACGGCCACAUUGGGACUGAGACACGGCCCAGACUCCUACGGGAGGCAGCAGUGGGGAAUAUUGCAUAAUGGGGGAAACCCUGAUGCAGCGACGCCGCGUGGAGGAAGAAGGUCUUCGGAUUGUAAACUCCUGUUGUUGAGGAAGAUAAUGACGGUAC
rnacentral:rRNA from 1 species